UUCUCUCCACAGGACGAGCUGACACCUCUUCACUGUGCGGCAAGAAAUGGCCACGUUCGCAUCGCCGAGAUCCUUCUAGAUCGCAACGCCCCCAUUAUGGCUAAGACCAAGAACGGCUUCACCCCGUUACACAUCGCCUGCAAGAAAAACCAUGUCCAACUGAUGGAACUACUGCUGAAACAUGGAGCUUCUCUCGAGGCUGUCACUGAGUCGGGGCUAACCCCGCUGCAUGUUGCUGCCUUCAUGGGGAACCUGAACAUUGUCACCAAGUUACUGCAGCAUGGUGCCUCUCCGAACGUCUCCAACGUG